rnacentral:rRNA from 1 species
AUUGAACGCUGGCGGCGUGCUUAACACAUGCAAGUCGAACGGUGAACGAGGGAGCUUGCUCCCUCCGGAUCAGUGGCGAACGGGUGAGUAACACGUGAGCAAUCUGCCCUGGACUCUGGGAUAAGCGUUGGAAACGACGUCUAAUACCGGAUACGAGGCGUGGGGGCAUCCCCAACGCCUGGAAAGAACUUCGGUCCAGGAUGAGCUCGCGGCCUAUCAGCUAGUUGGUGAGGUAACGGCUCACCAAGGCGACGACGGGUAGCCGGCCUGAGAGGGUGACCGGCCACACUGGGACUGAGACACGGCCCAGACUCCUACGGGAGGCAGCAGUGGGGAAUAUUGCUCAAUGGGCGAAAGCCUGACGCAGCGACGCAGCGUGAGGGACGAAGGCCUUCGGGUUGUAAACCUCUUUCAGCGGGGACGAAGCGAAAGUGACGGUACCCGCAGAAGAAGCACCGGCUAACUACGUGCCAGCAGCCGCCGUAACAC